GGUGGUUGUCCAGUGGUAGAACACUUGCCUGGCAUGCAUGGGGCCCUGGGAUUGACCCCCAGCACUG
rnacentral:tRNA from 1 species